UACGUAGGGUGCAAGCGUUGUCCGGAAUUAUUGGGCGUAAAGAGCUCGUAGGCGGUCUGUCGCGUCGAAUGUGAAAACCCGGGGCUCAACCCCGGGCCUGCAUUCGAUACGGGCAGACUAGAGUUCGGUAGGGGAGUCUGGAAUUCCUGGUGUAGCGGUGAAAUGCGCAGAUAUCAGGAAGAACACCCGUGGCGAAAGCGGCUCUCUGGAACGGUACUGACGCUGAGACGCGAAAGCGUGGGGAGCAAACAGG
rnacentral:rRNA from 1 species